UUGUCAAAUGUAAAACCACAUCCUAAUAAGAAAGCCCAAAAAAAAAGUUCCAACCCAUGCGGGCUAGCUUUCUAUUUAUCAUUACAUGCCGACUGAGAUGGCGAAAGGGAGAUGGAUUAGGGAUAUGACUAAUUGAAGCAUCGAGAAAGCUAAAAUAUAAAAAAUAUGAGAGCCGGAGGAGACAACCUAGAAUGGGAAAGGAGACUGAAGAAUGGAACAGGUUGAAUGCGACAGUGGGUGGUCGGCGCUGUCAAAGACCUUUGAUACUUUGAGCUGAAAAAUCGAUGGUUAUGGGAUUUUUAUGAUCCGUUCCUUGAGGCUUCUAAUGGAGAGUGACAAUUGUUGUUUACUCCGGGGAUUUAAAUAGGUUAGUUGGGUUCCGAUUAAAAUUAAUUAUUUUAUUUGACAUGUGAUUUCCAAUAAGGUUCCAGUGGCUAAAAAUCUUGUUAAUGGAGGUGUUAAUUUGGUGUUGUUGACUUGUUCUGUCUGUUACUUGAAUGAUGAGGAGGUGGAUCAUAUUUUCUUCAAAUGUAACUUUUCAACACAAAUUUGGAGUUGGUUUAUCACCUGGAGUGGGUUGUUAGCUUCGAUUCCUGGGGAUAGACUGGAAUUGCUUACGAUGUUGGCAACCCCAGUUUCUGAUAAAAAGAAGAAAAAACUCAAACUUACCCUCAUUUACUCUGUGAUUUGGUUAAUCUGGAAAGCACGAAAUUCUUUGAUGUUCAACAAAGAGAGAUGAGAUCCCUUACGAAUUGGCGGAUGAUAUCCAGUUAGUUUCAUUUAAUUGGAUUAAACAUAGAUCUUCUUUUAAUUUCAUUAAUUGGUUUGUGUGGUGUAUUGACCCUUGUAAUACAUGUACUCUGUAAUUUUGUCUAUCGCCUUGCUAAUUUUUUUAAUACAUUCGAGGUUCAAAAAAAAUUAAAAUCAAGUUUAUAAUCAAUAUUUUUUUGGAACCGACAAACAUAUUAAAAAGGGGCCACCAUCUAACAAGUGGCUAGAUGGGGUAGAAAAAGAAACAAGAACAAUACAAAGUUUUACAAGGAGAUGAAUGGGCUAAUACACCACUAAAUCCAUAUAUAACAACAUUUUUUUCCGCCUAUGUUUAAUCCAUGUGUACACAAUGGAUUUUGCGUUAUAAGCCACCUUGGUUGGGGACAUGCGGAUUGUUCUGAAUACCAAAUCGCACCUUGCUUUCCAGAUCAGCCAUAAUGCUCGUAACAAAUGAUGUGAAGAUUGUUCCUUUUUUCUGAAAAUUCCCCCAGUUAUCCACGAAUGUAAUUAAAUCUACCACAUUGCUAAGUUGAGGAACUAGGAUAUCACACCAUUUGAAUAUCCAAUGCCAUAUAGUGGCUGCAAAAGAGCAUCGAAUCAGGGCGUGAUCUACAUCGUCAUUUUCAAUCAAACAUUGCCUGUAUAGUGGGGAUUCGACAGGUACACCACGUUUUAAUAGAGAACAUGCAGUUGGAAUGCAUCCCAAAUUCACUCUCCAUACAAAGAAGUCAACCAUGAUUGGAACAUCAUGCGUCUAUUUAAUUACCACGCCAUCUGCCAUUUGUUGUAAACUAUCGAUCAUGCUUCUUAAUGAAUCUACAUGGUAAAUGCCAUCCUCUGAAAUAUUACACUUUCGAUCAUCAACCUGAGAUUGGCUGGAAAUUUCCAAGUCUAGAUGUCAACACAUUUAAAUCUCGAAUAUGCUCCAUAGAACUUAGAGUCGCUUUCCACUUCCAAUUGAGACCAUCAGUCUUGAUUCUUUCAUUGACUCUACAUAUUUUACAUUUCUCCAUUUGAUACAGGUCUGGAAAUGCAUUUUUGAGAGUGUCAUUGCCACACCAAUUGUCAAGACAGAACAUAAUGUCAUCUCCCGAUUUGACCUUUUUUAUAACAUCUUCAAUAUUAAUACCCGAUUUGAAUAUAUCA